GAUCUAUAAACGUUGUUGCGGCGGCCCGGUGGUCACGGGCGGUCGAUGUGGUACUGAUCGUUUGAUCAUAUUUACGCGGUGCGUAGAGAACAUGUGCUCCUUUUUUGUGUGAAUUAACGAUCACUAAGCCCUGGGUCCUGUGCAAUGCUAUUAGCUCGCUGUAUGUUUCUUGCGGUGCGCCGUUGUUGAUUAUCGUAGUGCGGUCCACACGCGCUUCCUUUGUGCCCGGCUCAUGAGAAGUGUUGUACUCUCGCCGCUCCCGCAUCGGCUCACAGUGCACGGAAGAAUGUGUUGAUAGUUGUGCUAUCGCGUGCUGUAGUUCACCGCAAUUCAACACUACGCUGGACGGACUGUUGGUGCAGUCGAUGCGGCGUGAACGGACACGAAGGAGCGCUCGCCUCAGAAGGGAUGUCACAAUUUCCUGAGACGGAGGCAUCUCUACUCCACAAAGGAGACUGCGGCACUAUGCAGCCAGAACAGCACGACAAAGCAUCUGAUCUGCCUGCUUUGACAAGAUGUGGCUGGGCCUGCAGAAAGAGUGUAAGCACACUACUGUGUUGCUGAUCAGUGCUGGUGCUGAUCUCUACGUCUGAGUUGGCCUCACAACGUCCAGGCGCCACUGUGCUUUGCUUCAUUGACAAGGUAAUAUGAUAUAGACACCUUGCACCUCAGUAUCAGUUUUGAGAAAUAUGCUAAGACACAAGGGUUGGCCUUGGUGAUAAAUACACUCGUGUUCUUUUUUAAAGCGUUCUUCUUGCAGUGUUCCUCAUGUACAUGUUUUCAGAAGAUGCUUAAAUGCAAACCGCCAUGGAACUUGUUUAUGCCUUAAAGUAGCUCUCUUUCACCAAAAGAAAAGCCUUAUUUAAUGCACAAUUCAUAAGAAAGGUGAGGAAGUGACAGGACAUAAGUCUAACAACCAUCCAGUUUUACUGCUUGCACAGCACUAUAAAGCGAGAGGUGGAAGGGCAAGAACAGAUAAAUCGAAAAUGCAUGUUGCUCACACAACCGCGAAAAGGACACAUGGCAUGGCUACUGUGACGCUUGUUUUACAAUGAUAAAUAAGCAGUCUUGCUAUCUGAUAGUCCACUGGAGGUGGAGCCAACUUGCAGAUUCCCUGUCACACAUAUAAGGAAAUCUUAACGAAUUUCGCCAGCACUAUGGUCCUUAUACAUUGCCACGGUUGCACAGUUUUCAAACAAAAUAAUGCAAGUGAGCUUUGCACUACCAAGUGACCACGAAAUGACCUGAGCAUUCAGUUAACAUGGUUGCAAAUCCAGUCAUUUAUACAUUGGCCUGUUUUGCUGACGUAGUGUCUACUGCACGACAGUGGUAUUUAAUAUCCAUCAACACCCCUGUGCUCUACGUACUCUUUCUUGCAUGCUUUUUUUUUCACACGUAGUGGAAGAUUACUUGAUUCCAGAACAAUUUGGUUUGUUCUACACAUGAUAGUGAACUUGCCAGUCUUAUAUUCAACAUGGAAUUGGGUAGAAAGAUGUGGUAUUUCUUAUGGUGCCCUGGUGCAUUCAGCUUGUGCAGAUGCUUCAAGCUUGUAUUGACAAAAAUUGGGAUGAAGCCAUAGGAGGAGAGUUGUAAAAGUGUAACGAAAGCCUCCUGAUAGAUAUGCUGAGUUGUGCUGCUGUGCACACUUAUUGGUUAUCCCUACUGGGUAACGCUGUUAGGGUUAUGGAUGCUUUGACACUGUAGGGCCUACAAGAUGGCUAGCAUUACAGAACACAUUAAAACGACUGUAGGGAUGCGUGUCGUGCUAUGGUAUCAUAAUUGGCCCACAAAGUGACCACCUUUGCUUACACUUGUGGUAAUCUGGCCCAGUUUACUUAACCCGACUGCCAUCUAUGCAUGAGGAGAAGGGACUAAAAAAUGAAGGGACCUUCGAUUAAUGUUCUUGUACAGAUGGCCCAUACAUUGCAUUUUUCUUAUCUUGCAAGCUUUGUUACUUAAAGCUUUCUAUGGGCAAAUAUCAGCAUUUGAUUCUUAUUUUUACCUAAUAAGUAUUGCUUUGUUCACAGUGUCACUUUCUAUAUUUACCGUAUUUACUCACAUAAUGAUCGCAGCCCUGAAUUUUGUCGUCCAAAUUCGAUUUUUUUUUAUUUCCUGUGUUGAUCACACUCCGAACUUGCCGCAGCGAUCUGUCAUGUACCAAGUCUAGCUAUUAAUGAUCGCGCUUACCAUCUGUCGAAUGCUACGCAAACAACUCUUCAAGACAAACCAAGCAGUCUGCACGCACCAAACAUUCUUUAGCAGAUGCCCGAUUUCAUUCCUUUCAUCACUUUCCGCACUUCCAUGACAAAAAAGCUACAACCAAAAUUGCCUUUAUUAUGUGUAGGCUUUGUAAUGGUUGUGGUCAAGAACAACAAA